GAGUGAGGGCCCUCUGGGUCCAACCUCCCACCCGUGUUUAUUUACCUUGUUGCUUCGGCGGGCCCGCCUUAACUGGCCGCCGGGGGGCUCACGCCCCCGGGCCCGCGCCCGCCGAAGACACCCUCGAACUCUGUCUGAAGAUUGUAGUCUGAGUAAAAUUUUAAUAUUUAAAACUUUCAACAACGGAUCUCUUGGCUCU
rnacentral:misc_RNA from 1 species